CACAAAAUGACUCUCGGCAACGGAUAUCUCGGCUCUUGCAUCGAUGAAGAACGCAGCGAAAUGCGAUACUUGGUGUGAAUUGCAGAAUCCCGUGAACCAUCGAGUCUUUGAACGCAAGUUGCGCCUGAAGCCAUUAGGCCGAGGGCACGCCUGCCUGGGUGUCACA
rnacentral:rRNA from 1 species